rnacentral:hammerhead_ribozyme from 1 species
AUACAGUUGACGAGUCCAAAACAGGACGAAAUGCGUAUCCUGGAU